UACGUAGGGUGCGAGCGUUGUCCGGAAUUACUGGGCGUAAAGAGCUCGUAGGUGGUUUGUCGCGUUGUUCGUGAAAACUCACAACUCAAUUGUGGGCGUGCGGGCGAUACGGGCAGACUGGAGUACUGCAGGGGAGACUGGAAUUCCUGGUGUAGCGGUGGAAUGCGCAGAUAUCAGGAGGAACACCGGUGGCGAAGGCGGAUCUCUGGGCCUUACCUGACGCUCAGGCGCGAAAGCUAGGGGAGCGAACUGG
rnacentral:rRNA from 1 species